AGCGAACGCUGGCGGCAUGCCUAACACAUGCAAGUCGCACGGGGGGGCUUCGGCCCCCCAGUGGCGGACGGGUGAGGAACGCGUAGGGACCUGUCGAGGGGUGGGGGAUAACCGCGGGAAACUGCGGCUAAUACCGCAUGACGCCGCGGCGUGACAGCCGGGGCCAAAGGCGAAAGCCGCCCGCCGAGGGGCCUGCGUCCGAUUAGCUGGUUGGCGGGGUAGCGGCCCACCAAGGCGUCGAUCGGUAGCUGGUCUGAGAGGGUGAUCAGCCACACCGGGACUGAGACACGGCCCGGACUCCUACGGGAGGCAGCAGUGGGGAAUAUUGGACAAUGGGCGCAAGCCUGAUCCAGCAAUGCCGCGUGGGUGAAGAAGGUCUUCGGAUUGAAAAGCCCUUUCGGCGGGGACGAUGGUGACGGUACCCGCAGAAGAAGCCCCGGCUAACUUCGUG
rnacentral:rRNA from 1 species